AUGGGGUAUUGUGGGGUUUUUUAUGGGGUUUUGUGGGGUUUUUGUGGGGCUUUAUGGGAUUUUUAUAGGGUUUUUGUGGGAUUUGGGGUUUUUAUGGGGUUUUGGGGUGAGUUUGGGGUUUUCUUUUGGGCUUUUUGGGGUUUUUUGGGGACUUUGCAGGGCUGUACUGCAGGCAGCUGUGAGUGUGGGGUUUUAUGGGGUUUUUGUGGGGUUUUGUGGGGUUUUAUGGGCUUUUUAUGGGAUUUGGGGUUUUUCUGGGGUUUUGGGGUGAGUUUGGGGUUUUCUUUGGGGCUUUUUGGGGAAUUUUGGGUUUUUUGGGGCUGUACUCCAGGCAGCUGUGAGUGUGGGGUUUUAUGGGGUUUUGUGGGGUUUUGUGGAGUUUUUAUGGGAUUUUCUGGGGUUUUUGUGGGGUUUUAUGGGGUUUUUAUGGGAUUUGGGGUUUUUAUGGGGUUUUGGGGUGAGUUUGGGGUUUUCUUUUGGGGUUUUUGGGGUUUUUUGGGGACUUUUCGGGGCUGUACUCCAGGCAGCUGUGGUUGUGGGGUUUUAUGGGGUAUUGUGGGGUUUUUUAUGGGGUUUUGUGGGGUUUUUGUGGGGCUUUAUGGGAUUUUUAUAGGGUUUUUGUGGGAUUUGGGGUUUUUAUGGGGUUUUGGGGUGAGUUUGGGGUUUUCUUUUGGGCUUUUUGGGGUUUUUUGGGGACUUUGCAGGGCUGUACUGCAGGCAGCUGUGAGUGUGGGGUUUUAUGGGGUUUUUGUGAGGUUUUAUGGGGUUUUAUGGGAUUUUUCUGGGGCUUUAUGGGAUUUUUCUGGGAUUUUUGUGGGAUUUGGGGUUUUUAUGGGGUUUUGGGGUGAGUUUGGGGUUUUUUAUGGGGUUUUGGGGGGACUUUUCGGGGCUGUACUCCAGGCAGCUGUGAGUGUGGGGUUUUGUGGGGUUUUUCUGGGGUUUUGGGGGGGUUUUGUGGGGUUUUGUGGGAUUUGGGGUUUUUUGGGGUUUUGGGGUGAGUUUGGGGGUUUCUUUGGGGGAUUUUGGGUUUUGUGGGAUUUUUUUUGGGGCUGUACUCCAGGCAGCUGUGAGUGUGGGGUUUUCUGGGGUUUUUAUGGGGUUUUUGUGGGGUUUUAUGGGGUUUUUGUGGAGUUUUAUGGGGUUUUUCUGGGGUUUUAA
rnacentral:lncRNA from 1 species